UACGUAGGGUCCGAGCGUUGUCCGGAAUUACUGGGCGUAAAGAGCUCGUAGGUGGUUUGUCGCGUUGUUCGUGAAAACUCACAGCUCAACUGUGGGCGUGCGGGCGAUACGGGCAGACUAGAGUACUGCAGGGGAGACUGGAAUUCCUGGUGUAGCGGUGGAAUGCGCAGAUAUCAGGAGGAACACCGGUGGCGAAGGCGGGUCUCUUGGGCAG
rnacentral:rRNA from 1 species